rnacentral:snRNA from 1 species
GUGCUCGCUUUAGCAGCACAUAUACUAAAAUUGGAAUGAUACAGAGAUUAGCAUGGCCCGGUGCAAGGAUGAUAUGCAAAUUAGUGAGGCAUUCCAUAUUUUU